rnacentral:piRNA from 1 species
CUCAGCAGCUUGAGGCCACACGCAUU